UAUAGAUCUUUUUGUUUGUGACUCAUUUUUGGUGCUAGAAAUAAUAACCCUUCCAUUAGUAUCACUAAACUCAAGCUAAAAGAAUGCAUAAUUCAUGACCUAAGGACACACCGCGCAGUAUAAGUUGUGUAUGUGUGUGCGCAUUCCGGGUAUUCGUGUAUAUGUGUUUAAAAUAAAAGCAGCAUCUGAUGACUUUAGGUCAGUUUGGAGGAGAGGCGCCGCUGCUGCUCCAACUUGUCACAACUUCACCCGGUACUGCGUCAUUACCAGAAAAGGGCACGGCGGAAGUGACAGGAACAUUAGGGAAUAUAUACUGCAAACAGAUACACGGCAAAACUCCCUUCACCUCCAAUCGAAGGUUGAGUGUUUCUCCUCAAGUGUUCAGAAAGCUGCCUUGUUUUCACCGACUGGCCACGGCGGGCAGCGUCCAGCCAAACAACAGCAGCACCAUCAACAACAACAACAACAAGCAGCACUGGCUGAUGAAUGAUUGCUGUGAUGGAGGAGGGGAUCGAAGGGAUUGAUCCACGCCGUGCUGCCUCAUCCCUGUUUUUAGCCUCUGUCAAACCGGUGCCGAAGGGAGAUGGAUUCCGCCUGCCAGAGGAGUGGAUUAAUGGCGGCAGGAUAGGGGCGGUCCGGCUGCGCCCUGACCGCGGCGGCGCGCAGCUCCCCUUUGGGCCCAGGUGUUAUUGACAAGGAUCUAGGAGGAGGGGAGUUGCCAAUGCCUCGGGUGGAGCAUGAGAGAGGAGCGGGGAUGGGGGAAAGUCUUUGCUUUCCCAACCUGCACGCCAGCAACUGCAUGCACACACACACACACACACACACACACACACACACAGCCUCUCAAACAGGUGUGCGUGCACACACCACUGCUACCAGCUUCCCUGAGUACCUCUAGCGGGCAUAAUGAUGGAUGGUUACAGGGCUCAGCCUCUCACUCACCUCUGCUCAGGCUUCUUGCUCUGUGAAUUGAGCGGCCAUGGUAAUGAAUAUGCAUGCGUGCGUGGAUGAUG
ensembl:lncRNA